CACAAAUGUUAAAUUAUUUGGGGGCUUCAUUCAACACGGGUAUGGUGCGAUCGGAAGAAAUAUAAUGAACACAAAACUGAUUAUUCUUGGUUGUGUAGCACUUUUGUUACAACUUUCACAUCAGGCUGGACGGAAAAAAUGUCAUGACAAGAAUUGCAUGAAACGCAAACAGAACAAUGACAAUGAUGUUGACGACACGAAAAACGCUGAUUAUUUUAAUAAAAAAGGAAUUGCCCCAAUGAUAAUGAUAUAUCCAAUAGGCGGCUUGAAGCGGGAAGAAAACAAAAAAUUAUCACAAGGAAAGAAAAAACUCUUUAUAAGAAACCUUUUACAGCUUUUCACGGAGGCGGGAAAUACUGUCACUGCAAUCCUGAACUUUUUUUAAAUGCUCCGCUGCAGGAGCUAUCAUCAAAUGAAAGUGAUCACAUUGCUAUCCUUUGAGAAUUCUUCAACUUAUUAACAUAGACAACUGAGAUUUUAUUAAAUUACGAAUAUAAAAUAUAUUUUUGAAAAUUACAUCAUUUCAAAAAAUAAUUCAUUAAAAAAAAAAAACGUAUUUUCUUCCUUUUAACUGAAUAAAUAUUCUUUUCUGA